rnacentral:rRNA from 1 species
GCCUCAAGUUAUGUGUGACAACCCCCUGAAUUUAAGCAUAUUAAUAAGGGGAGGAAAAGAAACCAACCGGGAUUCCCUGAGUAGCUGCGAGCGAAACGGGAGAAGCUCAGCACGUAGGGAUGGCGGCCCGCCCGUCUAUCCGACUCCGUGUACUGGUACGUCUCACUAUCCGUCUUCCUAGUGGUAUUCAAGUCCAACUUGAACGUGGCUUUGAACCCAUAGAGGGUGAUAGGCCCGUAGAACACCACCCAGCGGUUGAUGGACCGAGCGUACCAUGGAGUCGUGUUGCUUGACAGUGCAGCACAAAGUGGGAGGUAAACUCCUUCUAAAGCUAAAUACGACCAUGAGACCGAUAGUAAACAAGUACCGUGUGGGAAAGUUGAAAAGCACUCUGAAUAGAGAGUCAAAUAGUACGUGAAACUGCCGAGGGUGUAAAGCCUGUUGAACUCGAUUAUCCGUAGUUCCUGGCAUCGUGGGUUUUGGCUGUCACGCAGAAGGGGGCCUUCUGUAUGCCUUGACCCUAGCCAGGAACGAGUGCGGACAUCGUGAUCCAUUACGCAAACCAAAUGCGAGCGGCGACUCCGGUUGCUGCGAGCAUAUCCAACAUCAGGUCCCAGAACAUGCGGUCGACCCUCUAGUAGUGGCGCUCAGCUUAAGGCCGGCGUCGCGAACGGGGGAUCGAGGCUCCGGUCUCGAGUUCGGCUAGUUCCGGUGUGCCGUUGGAUGCGUGAUGGGCAUUGAAGUGAACUAGAGAAGUGUGAAGCGCAUGUUUGGGCAUGUUCAAGGGCGAAAGCCUGAGCCGAGCACGACUCCGGAUCUACGGUGUACUAACUAAUCGAGGUACCUACGGGACCCGUCUUGAAACACGGACCAAGAAGUCUAUCUUGCGCGCAAGUCAAUGGGAGUAGCAAACCCAAAGGCGAAGAUAACACAACUGCAAAGUCGUUGCGGGAUUACGGGUGCACCACGGUCCGCGAGGACUGGCUAGCUGUGCCGCCCCUCCAUCCCCGGGUGUUUAGCAACGGAUCUGUAGUGCCGCGGACCCCCCGACAGGGGUGGGCAUUUGCAGAGCCAACGCGACAUACCGCGAGCGCGCAGGAUGUGACCCGAAAGAU